ACACUGACGUCGCGACGCAUAUCAAUAAGCGGAGGAAAAGAAACUAACAAGGAUCCCCUUAGUAACGGCGAGUGAAGCGGGAAGAGCUCAAAUUUGAAAUCUUCAAGGUUCUACCUUGACGAAUUGUAGUUUAUAGAAGUGUUUUCUGUUAGUGGAGUGGCAAAAGUUCUUUGGAAUAGGACAUCAUAGAGGGUGAGAAUCCCGUAUUUGGUCAUUCCUCCUAGCGUUGUGAUACACUUUCAAAGAGUCGGAUUGUUUGGGAAUGCAGUCCAAAAUGGGUGGUAAAUUUCAUCUAAAGCUAAAUAUUGGCGAGAGACCGAUAGCGAACAAGUACCGUGAGGGAAAGAUGAAAAGGACUUUGAAAAGAGAGUUAAACAGUACGUGAAAUUGUCAAGAGGGAAGCGUUUGACACCAGUGUUGUUUUUCUGAAAAUCAAUCAAAGAACUGUUUAUGCUAAGUUGUUUAGACUUUAUCAGCUAACUGUUUAGUUUUGAGCUUUUCUUUAAUGCACUUUUCAGUUAACAAGUCAACAUCAAUUUCUUUUGCUGUAAAAAAGCUUGAGGAAGGUGGCUUGAGAUUCGUCUUAAGUGUUUAUAGCCUCUUGCCUAUGCAGUCGGAGAGAUUGAGGUCUGCAGCGUAGAUCCUUCGGGGCUAAAUGCAUUUGUGCUAAGUUAUAGUUUUUCAUAGACAACAUUGUUGACUAUGCUUAAGUCAUGUAGCUUACUCGCUUAUGCUAUUUUACCUACGCUUAGGAUGUUGACGGCAUGAGAUAUACGC
rnacentral:rRNA from 1 species